CUAUAAUUAUAAGUACAUAUUUAUUGUUACACUUCCAAACAUGACGUUCGGCAAAUGUAACUGUUUGACGCAACUUAUACAUUUGUAGAGUAAAAAAGUUAUGUAUCAUUGAAAUCAUUUUAUUCAGAGUAUCAUAGUACCUAAUCCAUGCGAGAAUAAAACAAUAUACUGAAUAACGAUACACCCGGACAUACAUUCGGGACCGUAAAAUUUACAUUUAGCACUUAAAGUCUGGGCGACAGUUUAUGACAAGGAAUGCCUUGAUAAACGAACUGGUGUUCAUUGUACGCCGGCUACGUCUACAGCGACUAUACGAUAAGUGCGAGCGUGAAGGGACGCUCUGUGGGAGAGUUGUAAAGUUCUCAAUCACGCUGGCGUCUGGAGCGACGUUGCCGGGCCGCACACAGGCGACCGGGUUUCAUUCAUAUUUGAGACGCGACGUUGCCGUCUCCGGCGGAAACCGCGUAAAAAAGGGCCUGAGGAAUGUGGCGGUACUGCUGAGCGGUUCUAAUGCCGAAUAAAAAGUGGCAGGAAUGCGGACAGUACUUAAGUACAAGUACUUGCUUUAGUGUACCAGGAGGUGUUGGCAAAUUUUCGUAUUCUAACUACCCACAUACCACGUAGUGAGAUGACAAAAUGGGCAUUGCAUUUCAAAAAAUUGCAAUCAAAGUCCAGUUUACUCGCACUAAGAGCAAAUGAAAUUCAGCAUUGUGGCUAUAAGAGAGCGGCGAGAGGCGGCGCCCUGAGAGUAAGCAGCGUGGGGACGGGGACGGGGCCGCGUUCUCAUGACUUUGGGUGGUCGGCGCUCGGCUUUCGAAUUCCAUUCCCUCGCCUGUAGCGCCUACGCACGCAGUCUAGGUAUUAUAUAGGUACUGUUACAUUACUAUGAGGAUUUUAAAAUGAUACAGGAAUGUUAGAGAAUGAAAAUAUUACUUUGACAAUAUUACAAUUUUAUAAACCGCUUGCUAGUGAGAUAUUUAAAACUAAAUAAAAAUGUUUCAGAAUUUGAAUACACUUGCAUUCAUAACCGUCCACUAGAUUAACAGAAAACAACAAUGACGGGUGUUCAAACAAAGAAUGGUCGAGCUAUGAAGUUAUUUCUGGUUCUACUGAAAAACUCAUGAAUGAAUUUUUACAGUGCCGGUUUCGUUUACGCAUCAUAAAACAUGAAAAAAUAAAUGAAAGGAUAGAAGCGGAAAUGGUGUCAGCUGAAGUGAACAUCCGCCAGAUGGUGCAUAUGCAACGCGCGUUUAUAACAAGAGGGCCGCAGUAAUAAAACAAACUGAAUGAAAACCCAACUAAACCUUACUUAAGGUCUUAAGACGAGCUAUCUUCGAGUUCAUCAAACAAAGGGAAGAUUUCAUUAUAAAAGGAACGACUGGCUCGUGAAAUGAGAUAUGGGCGCGUGUGCAAAUUUUAAUGAGCAAAAUGGGAUUCUCAGUUGUUUCGUAUAAUCUCGGUCUGAGAAGAGGGCCUAUAAUGAAAGCCGCCAGCGCCGACCAGACAGCAGACCGCUCGUAUAUUAGCAGAAUUCAAGGAAGGAAGGAAGGAAGGAAGGAAGGAGGUAUAUUUAUCCUGUUGUAUACCAGACUUAAAGCAUCCUGUUACCAUGGAUGAAUAAUACAAUAUAACUUGUAUUGAAUAUACAGAUUGUUUUUGUAAGCCAGUUCUCCAUAAGUACUUGCCAAAUUGGUGAGGUCAUGCACCAAUUCAACAGCUAGAGGCCCCUUUUGGGUUUGACUCAUAGCCAAGGCCACUACCAAAAAUGACUUUAGGCUAUUAUAGAUAGAAUAACUACUGUGUUUAUCUUUUUGUGUUGUUUCUUUAAAGAGUUAAAAUAUGAAAAUGAUUUAAAAUAAAAGUAAGUCUUGUAAAAUUGAUUUAUAUUGUCAAAGAGCAUUUUAAAGAUUACACUGAUAUGGAUGUAUUCAACACUUCAAUGAUAAAAUGACUGAUAAUAUUUAGUACCUACUUAUCUAUAGAUUUCUUUGAAUUGAUACUAAAGUAUUAUUUUACACUCCUUGGAUUAUUCCACUAAUUGAUUACUAAUUUUACUGUUAUAGUAAAAUUCUUAGUAUCUUUUAUUUUUCUAUGUAGAUGUACCAAUGGAAAUUGAAUUUAGUAAGAACAUAAAUUUGAAAGCAAGUGAUGUCAUGGCCAUUUAAAUUUCUCAAGUAGAAGACAUCAUUCAGUUGCGUGACAACAGCUGCUUGGAGACUUGUGCCACUUGUUCCUUAACAUUUUUUUAGUUAUACUUUUUAUUAAUCUCUGUUUUGUAUCUACUUUGACAGGAUACUUUCUAGGUGUACUUUCUAGUAGCGGUGGCGAGGAAGCUUCCAAAAUCCCAAACUAAAAAUAAGUUCUGGGAAUGCGAGCAACGUUGCUAUUUGGGGUAGACGUACAAAUAAAAACACCCAGAAGUAAGGUUAAACGUCCGCCCAUAAUAUGCUGAAUAACGUCCAACAUUGCUCGCUGACGUAGCGUACGAACAUUCCGCAAUAAAGAAGCAGAAUGCUUGUAUAUAAGAAAUUCGACGUUGCCUUCGUUUCGUUCCGCACAUAUGGAAAGGUUAUCGCGCCAUACACCAUACACCUACCUCCACACAACACUCGUAUCUUCGAAACGAAAAGUAAAUUCAAAAGGACCAAAAGCGCAGCGUUCACUAGAUCAGCUGAUAAUGCUGAUAUGAAUAAAUAGGAGCAU
rnacentral:lncRNA from 1 species